GCGAACGCUGGCGGCAGGCCUAACACCUGCAAGUCGAACGAACUCUUCGGAGUUAGUGGCGGACGGGUGAGUAACACGUGGGAACGUGCCUUUUGGUUCGGAAUAACUCAGGGAAACUUGUGCUAAUACCGAAUGUGCCCUUCGGGGGAAAGAUUUAUCGCCAUUAGAGCGGCCCGCGUCUGAUUAGCUAGUUGGUGAGGUAACGGCUCACCAAGGCGACGAUCAGUAGCUGGUCUGAGAGGAUGACCAGCCACACUGGGACUGAGACACGGCCCAGACUCCUACGGGAGGCAGCAGUGGGGAAUCUUGCGCAAUGGGCGAAAGCCUGACGCAGCCAUGCCGCGUGAAUGAUGAAGGUCUUAGGAUUGUAAAAUUCUUUCACCGGGGACGAUAAUGACGGUACCCGGAGAAGAAGCCCCGGCUAACUUCGU
rnacentral:rRNA from 1 species